rnacentral:lncRNA from 1 species
ACGGCGAGAUGAUCUUUUCGGGAUGCUAGCUCCCUUGCAAAGAUCUCGUCUUUGAUGGUUGAUCUAGUUCUCUUUUAGAUCUCAUAGACUCUUGAGAACUAAGAAGAAUGAGGACAAAGAACAGGAGGAAGAAGGCUAGGCAUGAGAGCAGAAUUUUUCCUCUCAAUUUUUCUCUUUUUCUCACACUAUAGGCGUCCAACUUUUGGACCCUAUUUAUAAGGAGG